rnacentral:SRP_RNA from 1 species
GCCUGGCGUGGUGGCGCGUGCCUGUAGUCCCAGCUACUUGGGAGGCUGAGACAGGAGAAUUGCUUGGACCCAGGAGGCGGAGGUUGCAGUGAAGGGAGAUCGGGCCACUGCACUCUAGCCUGGGUGACAGGGCGAGACCCUGUCUCAA